rnacentral:rRNA from 1 species
GAGGCAGCAGUGGGGAAUAUUGCACAAUGGGCGCAAGCCUGAUGCAGCCAUGCCGCGUGUGUGAAGAAGGCCUUCGGGUUGUAAAGCACUUUCAGCGGGGAGGAAGGCGAUAAGGUUAAUAACCUUGUCGAUUGACGUUACCCGCAGAAGAAGCACCGGCUAACUCCGUGCCAGCAGCCGCGGUAAUACGGAGGGUGCAAGCGUUAAUCGGAAUUACUGGGCGUAAAGCGCACGCAGGC